UACGAAGGGGGCUAGCGUUGCUCGGAAUCGCUGGGCGUAAAGCGCACGUAGGCGGCUUUCUCAGUCAGGGGUGAAAUCCUGGAGCUCAACUCCAGAACUGCCUUUGAUACUGGAGAGCUUGAGUCCGGGAGAGGUGAGUGGAACUCCGAGUGUAGAGGUGAAAUUCGUAGAUAUUCGGAAGAACACCAGUGGCGAAGGCGGCUCACUGGCCCGGUACUGACGCUGAGGUGCGAAAGCGUGGGGAGCAAACAGG
rnacentral:rRNA from 1 species